GUGUGUCCAGGGGAGUUGCAGACAGGAAGAUAAGGAAUGUCUGUGUUAGCAGCAGGUAGGAGUGGCCUGCUUCAGGAGACUUUCCAAAGCCUUGGCCAUUGGGAAGAGACCUAAGACGCAGGGGAGGUGUGAAUCCACUCUGUACACAGAGCCUGCUAAUCACGAACCUUUGGACUCUGUUGCUUACACCUUCCUUCCUUGGAAUCCAACAACAUUUUGUGCUUCAGAUCAAUCUCAAACCUUUUUUACGUUACUACAAUCUGAAGACAUAGUUGGGCAGUGCAAGUAUUUUUUUAUUUUUAUUUUUGCUGGUGAUUUGGGGAACGUUUUCUGGAUCUUCAGACUGGCUGUACAUUGAUGUGAAUAUGGUUUUAGAGAACUAAAAUAUUCUCUCGUGGGAAACCAAGAUACAGAAACUAAGGAUUUCCUGCCACAUGACCUGGAGCUGCGUAUGUGAGGGAGAUUAACCAAGUUCAGUCUGGAAAUAGAUGGUAAAGACAGAUGUGGAUGAGUUGACGGUGACAAAGCCUUUGGUUUUUGAGCACUGAGGAUAAGGUUCCCACCUCUAACUUGCCCUGAUGUUACCCAGGCCUGGCUCAGACAUCUAAGACAGGAAGAGGAGCUUCUGCAACCUGCGACAAGACUCUCUCCUUCCCAGGGGCACCCGUGUGUGUAUGUAGCUGUCCUGAGCCAGUCUAGUCUGAAUACGAACAUGGCAGCCAAGCCUGACCGGUUUCACCCCACCACACUGCAUCCUGCCGUUCUUCCUCCCUGUGGCAUGACAGGCUGCGAACACACUCAUGCUGGAGUCUGGAGACUCAGCUAAUCCACACAUCGUACAACUCACAACAACCGACCAUCUCUCCCCACUGCUCCGCAAAGAAUUCACCGCAGAAGGCUGGCGCAAGCUCGCAUCCCACGCUCACUAGCUACACAGCUGUGCAUUUACUUGUAACUUGUGAAGCAUUAUAAAUAAUUCAAACUAAAUGCCAGUGGUGGAAAUAAAUGAGCCAAGUCCAUUAUGUGGUGCACUAACCUGGCUUGUUAAAACUGGGUUUAUUCAUUUACAGUGAGAUUCACCCCUGCACAGAAGAGUAGCACGUGGCCUGCGUAUCACUUAUAUCCCACUAAAGGCUAGUUUCAAGGACAUAAAUGGUGCAUAAGCCUUGAGCUGUCUGUCUGUACAGGGCUGAAUUUCACCCUUAAUGAUCUGAAGUAGUUCUCUCUGCUCAGCCAAAUUAUGUUCAAGUAAUAUUGGCACAAAUAACCAUAUUAGCAACAGAAUUCUCUCUGAGAUGUUAGUUUUGUACCCCUGGAAUGCUGUCUGGAGACAAUCUGUGGUUAUCUCCCCGCCUAAAGGGUUGUUUACACAGAAACUCAGGAAAACCAAUACAAAUUAGCUCAAGGUGUGAAUUUAAAGUGGAUCAAUUAAAUUGCAUUAAAACACCGUAUGGAUGCUCUCAUUAAGUGGCUUUAGUUUUGUUUACUUUAAUUCAUUCCCAAAAUGCAAAUUGAAUGCAGUUUUGCUAAUCCACUUCAAAAAUUAAUUCCAAUGAAUUUUCCUGAGAGAUUCCAGGUGUAGACAAGACCUAAUGGUCAAAUCCAUCAUCCUUCUGGGCUACUAUUAAUAAAAGCAAUUUGGAUUUCAAUCGUCAACACCUCUGUGCCAUAUUCAUGUUGCACCAGACCCUGAUUUUAAUGUGGGUGCACCUUUCCAAGGAAGAUGGGUUGGGGUUGGUAACACAAGUUCUUUCUCUUGGCCUUGUCUUGUAAUCUCUUGUUUGCUCUUAUGGACUUUUUACCUCAAGAUGUUCAGGGAUAAAGGGACUAUGCAAAAGCGGGCGAUGAAUGAUUUAGUAACUGUUUCAGAGUCCUGUGCACUCAAUCCCCGGGGAGGGAUCUGCUAGAACACUCACAGUUAUUUGUAUGUCACAUCGUUCGUUGAAGGAAUGACACAGAGCAAGGAAAGAGGUAUUUGUAAGGGGUUCAUUCACUAGAGGAGCACCUCCUCCUGGCCAGGUGUGGGGUAGUGGCUCUCUGCCCCUAGGACACCCCCUGACAACAGUUGCUCCAUCACUGUGGUGGUCUGUCUUUCUGCAACUGGGCCCUCUGGCCAGGUCACGCUUUAGUCCAUCCCUUCUGGGGUAACAUAGUCCAAUGACUUUACAGCAGGUCUUCCAUUGGUUUCUGGAGUCUGUGGUCCUUGCACCCUUUACCUCAGGGGUUUUCAUCCCACCUUCCUUGGUGGCUGAUAGGGGAACCCUGGGUCUCCCUCUACUCUGGGCUCCAGCUCAGGGACCCUGUAGGCAGUAGCCAAGGUCUAAACUCUCAGACUCCUUAUGGUCUCCCUGUACUGUUUCCUACCUUUUCUGUUCCCCAGAGAAUGACUACAGACUCUCUCCCUGCAGCCCCCUUUCUUCUUUUUCCUCUUCUUGGGUUUUGUGGCAUAGCAGACUUGAUUCCGCAGUCAGGAAAGAUGCAUUGACUCAUGUAUUUGCUAUAUUUGCCAAAUAGGAUUAUCUGAUUUCUGUGCAUGUACCAUUUUUUGAAUCUGAAGUUAUGAAUAUUGACUAUGGAUCUGUAUUUCAAAUGUGCUUACUCUGGGUUACACCCACAACCAGCCUUUCAGGAACAACAAGGAAGAAGCAAAGGCAAUGGACCAUGGAAGAGCUUAGCCUGCCUGUGAACAUUUCAGCCAGCCUAUGAGUAAUGGCUGCUAGGGCUCAACAAGGGCAUGUGACCAGACCACAUGACACUGAACUCCAUUUUGGUACCUGUAUUUUUCCACAAGCUGGGCUGGGGACUUAGCUGGAAACAAAGGGCUCCCACCCUGAUUAUCUAAAGUGGGGAGUGAUAUCAUGAUUGGUCUUCACUCCCCCACAGCUCAACACCUGAAAGAAGCAGUGAAAGACAAAGGACUCGGGAUGGGAGAGGUGAGCCCAAGCUGCAAAGCAAGUGCAGCUUGUGCCUUAAGAAUCUGCAAGCCUGCUUGCAAUAUCAGUCAGGGUAAGAGAUUACGGAUCAAAUCUUAUUUAGUACUUUAGGCUUAGUUUGCGGUUUUGUUUA